AUACGAAGGGGGCUAGCGUUGUUCGGAAUUACUGGGCGUAAAGCGCGCGUAGGCGGGCUGAUCAGUUAGGGGUGAAAUCCCAGGGCUUAACCCUGGAACUGCCUCUAAUACUGUCAGUCUUGAGUUCGGGAGAGGUGAGUGGAAUUCCUAGUGUAGAGGUGAAAUUCGUAGAUAUUAGGAAGAACACCAGUGGCGAAGGCGGCUCACUGGCCCGAUACUGACGCUGAGGCGCGAAAGCGUGGGGAGCAAACAGGAUUAGAAACCCCAGUAGUCC
rnacentral:rRNA from 1 species